rnacentral:rRNA from 1 species
CAAUAGCGUAUAUUAAAGUUGUUGCAGUUAAAAGCUCGUAGUCGGAUUUUGGCAUCACGCCGAACUGUCUGCCGAUUGGUAAGUACGGUUUGGCGGGUGCUUCCUUCCGGAGGCUCGUUCCCUUCUUCAUUGAAGGGUUCGUUGGUUCCGGGUCUUUUACUUUGAGAAAAUUAGAGUGUUCAAAGCAGGCAGCUCGCCUGAAUAAUGGUGCAUGGAAUAAUAGAAAAGGACCUCGGUUCUAUUUUGUUGGUUUCCGGAACUUGAGGUAAUGAUUAAGAGGGACAGACGGGGGCAUUCGUAUUACGGUGUUAGAGGUGAAAUUCUUGGAUCGCCGUAAGACGAACUACUGCGAAAGCAUUUGCCAAGAAUGUUUUCAUUAAUCAAGAACGAAAGUCAGAGGUUCGAAGACGAUUAGAUACCAU